rnacentral:rRNA from 1 species
CCAGCUUGCUGGAUGCUGACGAGCGGCGGACGGGUGAGUAAUGCAUAGGAAUCUGCCCGAUAGUGGGGGAUAACCUGGGGAAACCCAGGCUAAUACCGCAUACGUCCUACGGGAGAAAGGGGGCUCCGGCUCCCGCUAUGGGAUGAGCCUAUGUCGGAUUAGCUAGUUGGUGAGGUAACGGCUCACCAAGGCCACGAUCCGUAGCUGGUCUGAGAGGAUGAUCAGCCACAUCGGGACUGAGACACGGCCCGAACUCCUACGGGAGGCAGCAGUGGGGAAUAUUGGACAAUGGGGGCAACCCUGAUCCAGCCAUGCCGCGUGUGUGAAGAAGGCCCUCGGGUUGUAAAGCACUUUCAGCGAGGAAGAACGCCUAGCGGUUAAUACCCGCUAGGAAAGACAUCACUCGCAGAAGAAGCACCGGCUAACUCCGUGCCAGCAGCCGCGGUAAUACGGAGGGUGCAAGCGUUAAUCGGAAUUACUGGGCGUAAAGCGCGCGUAGGUGGCUUGAUAAGCCGGUUGUGAAAGCCCCGGGCUCAACCUGGGAACGGCAUCCGGAACUGUCAAGCUAGAGUGCAGGAGAGGAAGGUAGAAUUCCCGGUGUAGCGGUGAAAUGCGUAGAGAUCGGGUAGGAAUACCAGUGGCGAAAGGCGGCCUUUCUGGACUGACACUGACACUGA